rnacentral:misc_RNA from 1 species
CAUUAUUUUAUUAUAUUUAAUAUAUAAACAUAAUCUGAAUAUAUAAUAGUUUUACAUUUCAACGCUAUGGAAGCAGAUUUACAUUUCAACGCUAGCCCAAAAGACUCUUUUUAACUUUUUUAAAACGACAAGGACUCAAAAGUCGGCAUUGCACGGAGACCGUCGGCAUCACCACAACAGAUUGCAGCACUGGCACAUCACGAGACUCGAACGACAUCAGAUGAUCAGCUGCACAUCGAUUUUUGCCUCAAUUACACCCAAAGCUCCUUACUCGUUUUAUGCCUGCCUCUACCAUGUCCAUGGAUUCAGAACUGAUGAACAAAUUCUAGGCUCGAAGAAAUGGGAAGAAAAAAUUUACAAACAAGAACGGAUUUCUGGCUUGAAAUGGGAAGAAGAAACAUGAAAAGUGAGGAAGAAAAAAUGAAAAAGAUGGGCGGCAGAUGAGUUGAAGGAGGAGAAUUUGAUAGAGACUAAAGAUUUUGUUUGGCUUCUCAAAUAAUUGGCGUUGCUUCUACUGCACAGUAUAUGUAUAUAUAAAAUCAAUUCACAGCAAGCCUCAUUCACUUUUUUCCUAUUCAAAAUAACACUGACCCGACCGACCCAAUCCAACAGAUUUUUGCCGUCGGGUUGGGUCAGGUUGCAUCACAAGAAUAAUUGGAGCCUAAUAUUGAGUUAGGCACCUAAUUUGAUGCCCACUAAAAUUAAAGUUGUCAAAAUCUAUAUAAAUAAAAAAGAAAAAUAUCGAACCAAAUCAUAUAUCAAUAAAAGAAAUGGCCAAAAAAGAAAAGGAACAAAAGAAGUAAGACCAGAACAAGAAAAAAAAAACUCUGCUUGUUCAUCAAUUAAAGAAAUAUGAUAGAUCUCUAGUUCCAUCAGCAACCACGAUCAAGAUGAGUGACUCGUACAAGCCUGUGAAGUUGUGAUAAGUCUCAAAUGGAAGUUCUUCUGUAUACAAGCCAGCUGGCAUUUGUUCAUUUCGCCAUUCAGUAAUUACAGGAGUUAACUUGAAUUGACAUUUCUUCAACUUCCCAAGAGACCUACACCUGCGAGGUACACUCAUAUACAAGGCUAUGCAUAUUUCAAGUCAAGUAGCAGCUCUUUUGUCACACUUGUUCUGCACUAAGCCCAGCAGGAAAUCAGUAAAAAUGUGCUCAUAGUCUGGCAUUUUCCCAUAACCAGGAAAGUAGUUGAUAUCAAUCACAUAAAAGACAUCUUUAGUCCCAUGCUCACGAAUCAUAUCUAUAUUGAACAAUCGGAGUCCUAGUCGAUGACGAAGCUCCCUUGCAAGCCUCUCCAACAAAGGACGUGGAGGAAGCUCUGCAAGAAAGCAUCAAAUUAUUGUGAAAGCUACCAACAAACAGGUAAGUUCUCUGCAUACCUCAUCGAACUUAUGAGUCAUGUACUGAAACAAUGACACUAGAAAAAAAAAAUCCACUAUGUUCAACAAUGUGAUACUACCUAUACAUUAAACAAAAUGAUGACAUAUAAAGCAACUAACUUCGACCAUUCUGUAUUUAUUUCUCACAGAAUUUGUCUAAUUAAAUGCAGGGUUGGCUAGAAACAAAUAAAUUCAAUACAAAUUCAGAGCAAAUCACCCUUUAAAAUUGGCAUAAAAAGAGGUAGGUGAGAAACUAAAAAUAUUAUUCACAUGAAAAAAGGUUUUUCAAAUAUCUCACCUCCAACAGAAGGGUCCAAAUCCACAUCAUCUGCAGAAGAUGCAGCAGAAGAGACUCUCGGAAAACGGAACACGCCCGCAACUUUUGCUAGCUCACACUUACUGAUAUUAGGUAGAGAGAAACGCCGAACAACCUUUAUGGCGUGAUUAACAAACUCUUGUAGAACCAAGGGAGGUUCAAGUUCAGACAGAGAGAAUUCAUCAUACGCGAGAAACAAUUCAUGUGAUUUUGCAGUUCCAUCCACUACCAGCGGUUUUGCAACUAAAAUGUUAUAGGAAAAGUAAUUAAACUGCAGCGAGUGCACAUAAACAAUUAAAAAAAUUCAUAGAAUAUUUAAAUAACCAUCAUCACUGAUGGUAAAAGAAUUCCAAAAGCCGAUCAAUGUGAAUCUAUUAAUCAAAGGCAUAACUGUGAUGACAUUAAACUUUGACAGGUUUCUAUUGGUCAUAUUCAUGCAUUCUUCUCUAAUCAAUCAGGUACGCUAAGCAGAAGUGAGUACUGGACACUUAUAAAUAUGCGAAGAUACAUGGAAAUUUUACCUAGUGGCAACUUUAACCCAGCUUUGGUAACUUCACGGGGAAUUGAUGAUGGAUCUUUGUUAACUACCAUUUGCCUCGGAACACAAACCUUGCCUUGGCAGUCAGACAAGUCGAGAUCAGCUACAUCCUGAAGCAUGGACUGACGGUUAUGUAGAUGUUGUAUUGCAUCUGGAGGAUCAAGAACAAUUGCUUCUAGAUGUUUUUGCUGGUAAUCCUCAAUAACUUCGCACCAGCCUUUUCCUGACAACUACAAGGAACAUAAAGCCAAUCAGACAUUUGCUUAUAUGCUAGGUUCAAAUAGGUAAACAGAGAAUAUAUGAGUGGAAACAUUGAAAGCAAUCUCACCUAGAAUCUGAUCAGCAAUUCAAAACCAUUACAGCAGCGACAACAAAUAAAUGCAGAUAAAAAAGCUUUCCAAAAAUAAAGCAUACUUCAGCAUACUUCUGAAGGGUAUGAGUGAAUGUUGAGCAUGCAUGUUUUACAGAAACACACAUAGACCAACACUAACCUUAUGUAAGAUAACAUCGAAAGGACCUUGAUCUGACAAUGGCCUAUUUAGAUCAAUGGCAACAAACAGUAUCCCCUUAUUU